UAAAAACCCCGACUUCGGAAGGGGUGUAUUUAUUAGAUACAAAACCAAUGCCCUUCGGGGCUCUUUGGUGAUUCGUGAUAACUAUACGAAUCGCACGGCCUUGCGCCGGCGAUGGUUCAUUCAAAUCUCUUCCCUAUCAACUUUCGAUGUUUGGGUAUUGGCCAAACAUGGUUGCAACGGGUAACGGAGGGUUAGGGCUCGACCCCGGAGAAGGAGCCUGAGAAACGGCUACUACAUCCAAGGAAGGCAGCAGGCGCGCAAAUUACCCAAUCCCGACUCGGGGAGGUAGUGACAAUAAAUACUGAUACAGGGCCCUUUCGGGCCUUGUAAUUGGAAUGAGUACAAUUUAAAUCCCUUAACGAGGAACAAUUGGAGGGCAAGUCUGGUGCCAGCAGCCGCGGUAAUUCCAGCUCCAAUAGCGUAUAUUAAAGUUGUUGUGGUUAAAAAGCUCGUAGUUGAACCUUGGGCCUGGCUGGCCGGUCCGCCUCACCGCGUGCACUGGUCCGGCCGGGCCUUUCCCUCUGUGGAACCCCAUACCCUUCACUGGGCGUGGCGGGGGAAACAGGACAUUUACUU
rnacentral:rRNA from 1 species